CUGUAUUUGUGUAUCUGGAGUAGUAAAUGGCGUAAAUGUAAAAAUGUGAAUUUUUAACAUGUUGUUCACAAAUUUUGAUUUUUACCCACAGAGACUUAAUCUUAAAUGCAAUGACAUCUCACCCAGAGAGUACAACACAAGGGCUAUGUGCAUUCUACGUCACUCUCAACUUGGAAAAACAAGUUCUGAGCGUAUAAGUUCUGAGAGCACAAGUUCUGAGACUUCCAAUUCUACACUGAACACAAUACAGGGUCUAUUAAGAGACAGUGUGGAGCGGAAUUGCGGAACACUUGGAGCACCAGCACCUAGAAGAUCGAGUAAAAAAAGAUCUGAAAAAAAUUUCUUGAAAUGUUGGUGUCAUUUUAUCUCUCACACUAUCGAAUAAAAUAACAUUAGAGCUGCCACUGACAUGCUCAGCAUGAGGCUUGUGGUUCAAAGUUCUGGCCCUCAUGACUUCAUUCAUUUACCUGCACAAAUCCAUGUUGUCUUUCCUCUAAGAUUUUUUAUUUGAACAUUGCACAUUGUUUUCCCAAAACUGGAAAUGGGAAGCUCAGUUUUAAU